rnacentral:rRNA from 1 species
AUUGAACGCUGGCGGCAUGCCUUACACAUGCAAGUCGAACGGCAGCACGGGGCAACCUGGUGGCGAGUGGCGAACGGGUGAGUAAUGCAUCGGAACGUACCUUUCAGUGGGGGAUAACGUAGCGAAAGUUACGCUAAUGCCGCAUAUUCUGUGAGCAGGAAAGCAGGGGAUCGCAAGACCUUGCGCUGAUUGAGCGGCCGAUGUCAGAUUAGCUAGUUGGUGAGGUAAAGGCUCACCAAGGCGACGAUCUGUAGCGGGUCUGAGAGGAUGAUCCGCCACACUGGAACUGAGACACGGUCCAGACUCCUACGGGAGGCAGCAGUGGGGAAUUUUGGACAAUGGGGGCAACCCUGAUCCAGCCAUGCCGCGUGAGUGAAGAAGGCCUUCGGGUUGUAAAGCUCUUUCGGCCGGGAAGAAAUCGUAUGGGCUAAUACCCUGUGCGGAUGACGGUACCGGCAUAAGAAGCACCGGCUAACUACGAGCCAGCCGCCGCCGUAAUAC